rnacentral:rRNA from 1 species
AUUGAACGCUGGCGGCAGGCCUAACACAUGCAAGUCGAGCGAGCGGCGGACGGGUGAGUAAUGUCUGGGGAAAUGCCUGAUGGAGGGGGGUAACUACUGGAAACGGUAGCUAAUACCGCAUACCAUCAGAUGUGCCCAGAUGGGAUUAGCUAGUAGGUGGGGUAACGGCUCACCUAGGCGGCGAUCCCUAGCUGGUCUGAGAGGAUGACCAGCCACACUGGAACUGAGACACGUGCCAGACUCCGACGGGAGGCAGCAGUGGGGAAUAUUGCACAAUGGGCGCAAGCCUGAUGCAGCCAUGCCGCGUGUGUGAAGAAGGCCUUCGGGCUGUAAAGCACUUUCAGCGGGGAGGCGUUACCCGCAGAAGAAGCACCGGCUAACUCCGUGCCAGCAGCCGCGGUAAUUC